UACGAAGGGGACUAGCGUUGUUCGGAAUCACUGGGCGUAAAGCGCACGUAGGUGGAUUUGUAAGUCAGGGGGUGAAAUCCCGGGGGCUCAACCUCGGAACUGCCUUUGAUACUGCAAGUCUUGAGUCCGAUAGAGGUGGGUGGAAUUCCUAGUGUAGAGAUGAAAUUCGUAGAUAUUAGGAAGAACACCGGUGGCGAAGGCGGCCCACUGGAUCGGUACUGACACUGAGGUGCGAAAGCGUGGGGAGCAAACAGG
rnacentral:rRNA from 1 species